rnacentral:rRNA from 1 species
UACGGAAGGGGCAAGCGUUGUUCGGAAUCAUUGGGCGUAAAGGGCGCGUAGGUGGUUCUGUAUGUCUACCGUGAAAGCAUACAGCUCAACUGUAUUUUGUCGGUAGAAACUGCAGGACUUGAGGCUGGGAGGGGCUGGUGGAAUUCCCUGUGUAGCGGUGAAAUGCGUAGAGAUGGGGGAGAACACUCGUGGCGAAGGCGGCCAGCUAGACCAGUUCUGACACUGAGGCGCGACAGCGUGGGGAGCAAACAGGAUUAGAACCUACCCGUAGUCAGAUCCAA